GAUGAACGCUAGCGGCAGGCCUAAUACAUGCAAGUCGAACGGUGCCUUCGGACAUAGUGGCGCACGGGUGCGUAACACGUAUGCAACCUACCUUACAUUGGGGGAUAGCCUUUCGAAAGGGAGAUUAAUACCGCAUAAGACAGUAGCUGGGCAUCCAGCAGCUGUUAAAGAUUUAUCGAUGUAAGCUGGGCAUGCGUCCAAUUAGCUAGUUGGUGAGGUAACGGCUCACCAAGGCAAUGAUUGGUAGGGGAACUGAGAGGUCAAUCCCCCACACUGGCACUGAGAUACGGGCCAGACUCCUACGGGAGGCAGCAGUAGGGAAUAUUGGGCAAUGGACGCAAGUCUGACCCAGCCAUGCCGCGUGCAGGAUGAAGGCGUUAUGCGUUGUAAACUGCUUUUAUACAGGAGGAAACGACUCUUGCGAGAGGCAUUGACGGUACUGUAUGAAUAAGCACCGGCUAACUCCGUGCCAGCCGCCGCAGUAAUAC
rnacentral:rRNA from 1 species